CCCUAAUUUCUCAUGUGUAAUGUGUUACCCGUGAGUCAAAGUCAAACCUCCUCUCACGUGUCAAACGUAGCUGACGCACACAUGUUCCCACUUUCACAUGCUUCACUUCAACCCCUCCCUCUAACUCAGAUAUUUUCUUUUUUUAUAUAUUCUCCUUCAUCUCUAUAAAUUCAGCAUUUUCCAAGCUUAUGACAAAACCAGCGCCCCCAUGAAAAUGAACUCUCACACGCGCGCUUUCUCUCUCUCUCUCUCUCUCUCUCUCUCUCUCUCUCUCUCUCUCUCUCUCUCUCUGUGCCCAGAAAGGGAUUACUUUGCUGCUCUUCUUCUUUAAAUUUUUAUCAUUACACAUACAUAUCCAGAUGGAUUAACACAUACAAGGUGCAUGCAGUACUUCAUGCCAUAUAGAAAUCUCAACAUAUGCUAACUGCUGCUAUAUAUAUAUAUAUAUGUAUAUGGCGGGUGAGUAGAAUCCAUGCUAUCCUUGUCAUGCGAGCAGCCCUUUCUUGGGUUAUCCUUUGUUUCGUUGUCUGUUCGACCUUGUUCCUAUUACACACACACACACACACACACACAUAUACAUACACCUAGGACUAGCAGAAUCAUCAUCACGAUUCACGGUCAACCAUAUGAUCAUAUACAAACCCUAACUGUAAAAUUAAUUAAUUCAACCUCCUUUACAAAACAGGGACCAACAACCACUUUCUUUUCUUUAUCGAUCAGUAGCCAGAUUUGUUUUAUGUAUCGAUCGAUCAGCUUAUUAUUAAAGAAUUAAUUUGGUUUUGCUUUCUCCCAUGCAUACCCUCCCUCCCAAUAUCUGUGAAUUAUACCUGGAAUGAUGUGCUAGCUCCACAAUUACUCCAUGAAAUCUGUGCUACAACAAACUAUAGCUAAUCAUUUUUAUAUUAAAUGCAUGAAUUAAUAUGCAUGUCAAUGUGUAUUUUAUGUGUUGCCUGUUUGGUAGGUUCGCAGCUUUGCACGUGACUUUCAGGUGCACUUGAAACGGCUAGAAAUUAAUUAGAUUCAUGUAAGAUGUGGGAAACUUAUAACCCUAGUCGUAAUAUACAUUUACCCUAUAAUCAACCAUCAUAUGGAUUAAUUCCUGCUUGAGUUGGAAUAGAUUGGUUCCCUAAUCUCAAAUUCUCACCAAACACAACACUAACACACAUCUUAAGUUAAUUAAUUAACAUUAGCAGGAAUUAAUCUACUUUCUGAAUUCCAUUAUUUCCUUAUUAGAGGAGAAAUAUUAAUUAUAGCAUCAAGACUUAGAUAGAUGAUAAUAUUAGACUAAUCUUUUCCCAGAUUUCUCGGAGUAUAUAUGUACACUACUCAAGAAGUGUGGUUGGACCUGGAGCCUGGUGCUAGUAGGUACGUACUAGUAGAGACUAUAGAGAGUAUAAAGGUUUACAAGCUGUGUGUCAUCUACUUUCUUCCCGAUUCCUUGAAGCUUUUGUAAAUUUAAGGAUUGCUAGGCUAAUUACUUUAGAUACGGAUAAUAAGCUUUUCUUCCCAAUUUCUUCCUAAAUUAUAUUCCACAAAAACUUUUGCAAUCCAUCCAUGAUAAUAAGUAGUGCUAGAUUCACUAAAUUUUGUUUAUAUAAACAUAUUAUAAUAUUUUAUACAGAAAUUCUCAUAUGCAGACAUCCGGAUGUUAUUAUCGUGUUAACGCCAUGUAUUUUCUACUACCCCUCUAUGUUUUUCUUCCUGUUUACAAUGUCAUCUACACGAUAACAAUAUGGUGGGACAUCCAAAUGAGAGAAUAACUGAUAUUUUAUAUAUUCAAAUUUGGGUCCGUUGUGGAUUUCAUCAAUUUGGUGACCCUAGUGUGAUUUGUUGGUGAUCCUAGCAUUAUUCCUGGGGAGAACAAUUCUGAAAGAAAAGAUCGUAUAUUUGACUGAUCGAAGGGCAGGCUGUUGCUCAUGAUGUGCUUACGUAGGCAUCUCCUUUCUGUUGUUUAUUUGAUAAAGUUUCCUUGUCCUCGCAAGGUAGCUGUAUAAGGACAUGGAUUUAUAUAUACUCAACUCAAUAUAACAUUAUACAUGGGCAGCUUGGUAGAUUAUUAUAAGAUUAGAGUGCAAAUAAAAUUAUAUGAUUAUUAUAACAUUUGUAGCUUAAUUCAGGUGGUUUUUGUUCUCAUCUACGUACAAUGUUAAUUCAGUCUCUUUCUAUAUGUAUAAUUAGACCCUACGUGUCUCCUAUGAUUUUAAAUUUAAUUUUUUUUUUUUUUGGGACGAAUACUUGUCUCCUAUAAUAAUGUACGUUUUAAAGAGCACUUAGACACUGUAACGUGGGUAUCAGUAGGCAAUGCUCUCUCACAUGUUGAGUGAGAGUCUGAGAGAAGUGAAUGAGUGGAGGUAGGAAAACCACAUAAUACGUAAUUUUUUUAGAAUUCAUUCGAAGGAUAUAUGGACGGAUCGAGGUCGAUCUGACAAUGAAUGUGAGGUGUAUGCUUAAGGGACUGCUCGCUUGACAAGGCUUUGCAUGGAAUUUGACACCCCAACCCCAACCCCAACCCCAAUCUGAUCUGAUCGAGCUCUCCCAGCCUAUGUGUUUCCAUGGUCCACACUAGUCCAACACCCAGUAUUGUCUUCGUCCAACGAAGUUCCAAACCAAGAAGCUUCCUACUUUCCUGGUCUGAUCUCUGUCUCUGUCUCUGUCUCUCUCUCUCUCUCUCUCUUGAUGUACGUUCUUUAUUGUUUUGUUAAUUAACUACUGAAUUAUGUAAUAUAUAGCAUUGCUCACAUGUUGAGCUUUCUCUCAUGUUAGAUAUUUCCAAUUAAUAUUAGUUGCUUUGGACAAAGAUGUCAUUAAGAAUUGCUAUUUAGGUGCAAAUCUAUAGAUGUUAUGUCAGUAAGUUUCACUUUAACACUUGAGCGAGUGUGAAUAUCAUCUCUUCAUGAAUGAUAUAUAGACUAAAAUGUUCCAAUAAUGCAAUUGAAAUUAGUACAAAACAUAAUUAGAAUAAAUUUAAUUAUACAUAUGCAUCGGAAAAAGUAAAGAAUUCAAUCAUUAAAGUUAAGGAGAUUGAUAUAUGUUUUUGUCCCUUGUCUUAAUUUUUGUGUUUUUAAUUAGGUCAAUAGUAAUUCAUCUCUUUCUUAUAGCUAGUGACCUACUAUAGCAUAAUAAAUUGUUGAUUUGUUUGCAAUUACCAAAGUAAAGCUCCUGGCAUGAAUUACAAGCAAUCAGGUCAGCUUGUUAGAGCUUUGAAGAGCUUUGAAGAGCUAGCAAGCAACUCAUGAAUCUCCAGCUGCCUGCUGUUCAUCGAUAGCUACAGUAUCCUUGUGCUGUGCCGCUAUCAAACGCUCUGUUGCGCGCUGUGAUGACAACGACUGUACUAAUAAAUUUCUGUUAUAAUCUUUGGGUUUGAUUUCUA